CAAUUAUCAGUGAUUUACUGCAGCUUCAUCUUGUUAAAUCUGUCUUCUCAUCUCAGUUUUAUGAAAUAAAUGUGUUUUUUUAUUGAUCUGAAAAGAGUCAGGUUUC